UACUGGGCGUAAAGGGAGCGUAGGCGGACAUUUAAGUCAGGGGUGAAAUCCCGGGGCUCAACCUCGGAAUUGCCUUUGAUACUGGGUGUCUUGAGUAUGAGAGAGGUGUGUGGAACUCCGAGUGUAGAGGUGAAAUUCGUAGAUAUUCGGAAGAACACCAGUGGCGAAGGCGACACACUGGCUCAUUACUGACGCUGAGGCUCGAAAGCGUGGGGAGCAAACAGGAUUAGAUACCCUGGUAGUCAAGGGCGAAUUCG
rnacentral:rRNA from 1 species